rnacentral:lncRNA from 1 species
UUGGCAUGUUUCGGAAGUGUUCGUGUUGAAAUCGGAGCAAAAACAGAAGAUUUGAAAUUUUCUGUAAAGAACGGGACUGAGAAAUUAGCAGAAAAUGCACGGUGUCAGAAAAUUAUGAAAAUUGGCAGAGAUGUCAGGAACAUUUUUAUGAGGCUAGAUUUGAAGUUUCAGAUUUUUCUGACACCUGUAGAGAGAGAAAUAGCAUUUGGAAGUUAUCGGAUAAAGAUUGCAGUUCGGUACAGUUCGCAGUGACCAAACGGGGUCGAAACUGAAAUGUUAAAAUUU